rnacentral:rRNA from 1 species
ACGUAGGGGGCGAGCGUUGUCCGGAAUGACUGGGCGUAAAGGGCGCGUAGGCGGCCGAUUAAGUCUGGAGUGAAAUCCCCGCUUUUAAGGUGGGAAUUGCUUUGGAGACUGGUUGGCUUGAGUGCAGAAGAGGUAAGUGGAAUUCCCAGUGUAGCGGUGAAAUGCGUAGAGAUUGGGAGGAACACCAGUGGCGAAGGCGACUUACUGGGCUGUAACUGACGCUGAGGCGCGAAAGCGUGGGGAGCGAACAG